CAAGAUCCAGCUCCACACCCGUUGCUCCAUUCUCAGCUGCCUUAAAAAAAGUUUUAAAAAUCACAUACAGAACAGAAGAGACAGCUUUAUGGAUUUGACACAGCUGAAACCAUAAUGAUUCUGCCUGAGUCUUGGGAUUGGAACUGUUUCAGGAUAAAAAUGCAGAAAAGAAUCGUGUUCUCUCCUUACAUGUAAUAACCCUGGAGGCCUUAAGUUAUGUUAUUUUCUAAAAGACAAGAGAAGCAAAUGCCUACAGUUUACAUAACCUACACUUUAACACUUAGUCAACACUCUUCACCACGUGUGUACCAAGCAGUAGACAGAUGCAGACUAAUCCCUGCUCCUCUCUGAGGAAUGGCUUUAUCAGAGAGCAAGAAGCAGCCAGUCUGCCUUACAAUAUUUCAUACACCCUGUUCCUGCCCUGGAUCUUUCCCAAGAACUCUGCAGAAAAACACCUGAGUGAAGUGCUAACAACACCAAUUGC